rnacentral:rRNA from 1 species
CGUGAGCAACCUGCCUUCUACUCAGGGAUAACAGCCGGAAACGGCUGCUAAUACCGGAUAAGACCACGCCGAGGCAUCUCGGAGGGGUCAAAGCGCUUUAGCGGUAGAAGAUGGGCUCGCGUCCCAUUAGCUAGUUGGUGAGAUAACAGCCCACCAAGGCAACGAUGGGUAGCCGACUUGAGAGAGUGAUCGGCCACAUUGGAACUGAGACACGGUCCAGACUCCUUCGGGAGGCAGCAGUGGGGAAUAUUGGGCAAUGGAGGAAACUCUUACCCAAGCAAUGCCGCGUGAAUGAAGAAGGCCUUCGGGUUAGUAAAGUUCUUUUAUUGAUGAUAAAGAAAGUGAUAUUAGUCAAUGAAUAAGCCCCGGCUAACUACGUGCCAGCAGCCGC